AUGAGCUCCUCACAAAAUGCUCAGGCCCUUGGCCCUGAAAAUUUUCAGAUUCUCUCUGCAUCUGAUUAAGCCUCAAGCCACAACUCCGAGCCAGGCGUUCUGACUCUGAUGCCACGAUGACAGUGAGAUGAAUAAUAGCUAACAAACAUGUGUGCCUUUUAGGAGCCAGAAACCUGACAGCUAUCAGAACAGUUAAAGUGGGAGCCUCUCUUUCCCUGGGAAAUGUGGGGCACAGAGCAGGCCAUAGCCUGCACUACAGCGCGGGGGACAUGCCACGGGGACAGGGCAGAGCCUCCUCUAGCCUCCCGCCUGACCAUCCCAGCCUGCCCUGCUCGAGGGCCCCUCUCUGCCUGUCCUCACCACACAGCCCCCUCCUGCCAGCUGCGCCAUCAGCCAUGCUGGAGGUCUGCUUCUGCGGGGACCCAUACCCAGAAACCCAGUGG